rnacentral:rRNA from 1 species
UACGGCGUUGAAGCAGUGUAUGUCAGACUUCCAAGAAAAGCUCGCAAUGUCCGAAAUAAAAUAAUGCCUGUACCAUAACCGACACAGGUGGGUAGGUAGAGUAUACUAAGGGGCGCGAGAUAACUCUCUCUAAGGAACUCGGCAAAAUAACUCCGUAACUUCGGGAGAAGGAGUGCCUUAUUUUAAGGUUGCAAUAACAAGAUCCAAGCAACUGUUUACCAAAAACACAGGUCUCCGCUAAGUCGUAAGACGAUGUAUGGGGGCUGACGCCUGCCCAGUGCCAGAAGGUUAAAGAAGUUGGUUAGCUAUUGCGAAGCUGAUGACUGAAGCCCUGGUGAACGGCGGCCGUAACGAUAACGGUCCUAAGGUAGCGAAAUUCCUUGUCGGGUAAGUUCCGACCCGCACGAAAGGCGUAAUGAUUUGGAUACUGUCUCGGAGAGGGGCUCGGUGAAAUAGACUUGUCUGUGAAGAUGCGGACUACCUGCACCUGGACAGAAAGACCCUAUGAAGCUUUACUGUAACUUGAAAUUGAAAUUGGACUUUAUUUGCGCAGUAUAGGUGGGAGGCGUUUGAAGAUAUUCUUGCGGGAAUGUUGGAGCCAUUAGUGAGAUACCACUCUUGUAAUGUUAGAUUUCUAACUUUGUACCAUAAUCUGGUCAAAGAACAGUUUCAGGCGGGCAGUUUGACUGGGGCGGUCGCCUCCCAAAUGGUAACGGAGGCGUACAAAGGUUUCCUCUGAACGUGUAGAAAUCGUAUCUAGAGUGUAAAGGCAUAAGGAAGCUUGACUGUGAGACCUACAAGUCAAGCAGGGACGAAAGUCGGUCUUAGUGAUCUGACGGUACUGAGUGGAAAGGCCGUCACUCAACGGAUAAAAGUUACUCUAGGAUAACAUGCUGAUCUCCCCCAAGAGUUCACAUCGACGGGGAGGUUUGGCACCUCGAUGUCGGCUCAUCGCAUCCUGGGGCGGUAGUACGUCCCAAGGGUUGGGCUGUUCGCCCAUGAAAGCGGUACGCGAGCUGGGUUCAGAACGUCGUGAGACAGUUCGGUCCAUAUCCGGUGUAGGCGUUAGAAUAUUGAGAGGAGCCUUCUUUAGUACGAGAGGACCGAGAAGGACAUACCUCUGGUGUACCAGUUAUCGUGCCAACGGUAAACGCUGGGUAGCUAUGUAUGGAGGGGAUAACCGCUGAAAGCAUCUAAGUGGGAAGCCCACCUCGAGAUGAG